rnacentral:tRNA from 1 species
UGGAUCACCUCCUAACAGGGAGACAACAAAAUGUUUAAUAUUAUUAUUUUGUCACCUUAGGUCGAUCGGUAUCUCACGUUCUUAAUUUAUUAAGAAUUUCAUUUCCUAAGUUUUUCUAGGUCACACCCAUUAUUUUUCCUGGGCCAUUAGCUCAGGUGGUUAGAGCGCACCCCUGAUAAGGGUGAGGUCCCUGGUUCAAGUCCAGGAUGGCCCACAUCUCUAUGUUGGGGGUAUAGCUCAGUUGGUAGAGCGCCUGCUUUGCAAGCAGGAUGUCAGCGGUUCGAGUCCGCUUACCUCCACUGAUUACCACCUCUUCCAUAAUCUUUAGAUAAGGAAAUUUUUUGAGUUGUGAUCAAAUACUGAACGAAUCUAGCUUCCUAAUGAAAUUAUUAAGAUGCUGGACUCAUUGAAUUAAAUUCAUUGUUUUCAGAGAACCUUGACAACUGCAUAGAUUAUUUUUAAAGACAAUAAGCAUCUUUAAUGAUGCAGAUUUAUUAUUUGUGCGAAUGCAUUAAUAACAAUUCUAUUAAGCUGAUGCUUCAAUUUUGAAGUUAUUGGUCAAGCUACAAAGGGCUCACGGAGGAUACCUAGGCACACAGAGGCGAUGAAGG